GCUCCAUCAGCCCUGGCAUGCUCCGAGGAGCUCAGCUGGAGAGGAGCAGAAGCCAUUUUCUCCAACUAACCAUCGCCAUGCCUACGAUCGUUCCCCAGCUAGGACGAAAAUGACUACUUCACAUAUCGGGUUUAUUAACAAUUUGGAAUCCUGUAAUGUGAGGGCAACAGCGACUGAAUCCUGACCAGACACCCUCAACAGCCAAUGACAGCAAUCACACUGGAAUGCUACUGCUUCAUGAUGAAUGUCCACCUCCUUGUUUGUUUUGUUCUGAAGACACGUCAAGUGUUUCUGUGAGAUCGCUGAUCCCUGGAAUCAACGCCUCUGAAACUAUUGAGUAAAAAUUGUGUCUUGAUUGAAUCGUCUAGUGUGGGUGCUAUUAAGAUUAAAAU